UAUUGCCGUUUCAAUUCUCCAGCACUAGUACAAAUGGAGUCACAGUUUUAACGUGAAAUCCAAAUAAAUGACAACUUCUGGAUGUGCUUCCCGGGAAUUGGAGACACGUGACAAUGACGUUAACUCAGUUAGCAACGAUCUCCCGCGAAACGCACACGAGGAAAGAAAAGCACAAAACAGGUUUGGAGCAACAAGGGUAUUGCAUAAAUGUGUAGCUGUGACAAUUCUAUACCAAGAAUGACAAGCACGGGCUUCAAGAGCAAUUAAUCAGCAAAUACAAAGAAUCAGAAUACAUCAAGAUUGGCAAAACUAAGUCAACAUCACCAAGAUUGCUUUAACAGAGCAACUGAACUGGACUCAAAAAGACUCCAUACAGCAAUCACAGGAAGUGUGCAUGUUAUGCUCUGUGGGAUCCACAUCUGAUAGACUCUUAUCAGCACCCUGUGAUGUGUUUAGCUCUGUGAAGGCCUCAUCACCCUCAUGUCCUUCUCCACUGUCCUUACUGCCAUUCUCCUGACCCUGAGCAGCCUUCAUCACCUUCACUUUCUCCUCUGUCUGAGACACUCUCAUUAAGGGAGAUGCACUCAUUAUGCCAUCAAGGAAAAGACGGGUAUGUUGCUUGUCAUGCACUUUAUAUGCCAGAGUUUGUUUCUUUCCACUUGUUGAAAGUCACUUAGAUUCUGGCAGUUGUCUAUUGUAUAA